GUUAACUGCUCAGUUUAGCAACACAUACAUACUAAAACUGGAGAGAUUGGCAUGGUCCCUGUACAAGGAUGACACUCAAAUACAUGAAGUUGUCCAUAUUGUU
rfam:Tupaia chinensis contig34938, whole genome shotgun sequence.